rnacentral:lncRNA from 1 species
AUAUAUACUCUUAUGAGUACGAUCGCUUUUGUACUCAUAAAUCAUUUUUGAUGAAAGAGUUUCCGAUUCGACGAUUCAUACAGUUAAACAUUAUUUAGAGCAUUUAAAAUUUCUAGAAAUCAAAUUUUAUAAUCUAGAUAAUGAUCAAUAACUCCGAUUUUAAAUUAAAGGAUCCGAUCAUCCAUUUUUAGGAUGUCGUUCGAUUUUGACCGUUCAUUUUAUACCCGCUUGAUGAACUUUGUUAUAUAUAUAUAUAGUAGGGCUACUAUACUCUUAUGAGUAUGGAGUCCUUCGUACUCAAAAGUUAUUUUAGAUGAUGGGGCUUUCGAAUUGACCAUCCACUCCAUCAAAUAUGAUCUAGGGUGUUUAAAACUUUUAGAAAAUAAUAAAGUUCAUCAAGCAGGUAUAAAAUGAACAGUCAAAAUCGAACGACAUCCUAAAAAUGGAUGAUCGGAUCCUUCAAUUUAAGAUCGAAGUUAUUGAUCUUUAUCUAUGUAGUGAAUAGAAUUUUCUAUCAAAAAUUCAACUGAUUUCAAUUUCUUUACACCGUUAGACUAGCAAAUAUCUCAUACCAGCCGUUAAAAAUUGUCAAUUUUGUGACCUUUUGAUCAUAUGGUAAAUGAUGUCGAAAAAUUAUAAAAUUAUAUUUCUAGACGUUUUAAAUGUUUUAGAUAACGUUUAAUGGUGUGAAUUUUCGAUUCGGAAGCUCUAUCAUCAAAAAUAAUGUAUGAGUACGAGGGCGAUCGUACUCAGAAGAGUAUAGUAGCCGGUCUCU